UCCCCUACGGGACGCAGCAGUAGGGAAUUUUCGGCAAUGGGGGGAACCCUGACCGAGCAACGCCGCGUGAACGAAGAAGUUAUUCGUAAUGUAAAGUUCUUUUAUCAGGGAAGAAAGAGGAAUUUGACGGUACCUGAGGAAUAAGCUCCGGCUAACUACGUGCCAGCAGCCGCGGUAAUACGUAGGGGGCGAGCGUUAUCCGGAUUUACUGGGUGUAAAGGGAGCGUAGACGGUUCUGCAAGUCUGAAGUGAAAGCCCGUGGCUUAACCGCGGAACGGCUUUGGAAACUGGUGAACUGGAGUGCU
rnacentral:rRNA from 1 species